rnacentral:lncRNA from 1 species
UAAGGAGAGAAGCUGAUCCUGUUUCCCACUCAGAGCAAAUCAUCAAAGACGCAACAGGAGGGGUUAAUUUUUACUUCCUGCUGUGGAAGUUUGGGCCAGAACUUGCUUAUCCUGCAUACAGAACUGCACAAGACACACUGCAUCGAAUCCUGACUAAGGAUUAGAGUCUGUUUCCUCCAUGAAAGAAGCGCUGUUGGUGACUGCUGCGAAGGCUUGACACCGAGUUUCCUGAAUACUGAUUUUACGUCCCUUAAAGCCUCUUUGUGUACACCCACGCAACGUGGAGGUGGGUGUGAAGGCAGCCUUGACGGGGCUGCGUUAAAAACAGAAGGAAAAAAGAAAACCAAACCAAACC